GACGAACGCUGGCGGCGUGCCUAACACAUGCAAGUCGAACGGGACCGCAAGGUUCAGUGGCGGACGGGUGCGUAACACGUGAGGAACAUAGCCAACGGCGGGGGAUAGCCGGCCCAACGGCCGGGUAAUACCGCGUACGACCUUUGGGGGGCAUCCCCUGGGGGUGAAAGCAGCAAUGCGCCGAUGGGGUGCCUCGCGGCCUAUCAGCUAGUUGGUGAGGUAACGGCUCACCAAGGCUACGACGGGAGCUGGUCCGAGAGGAUGACCAGCCACAUUGGGACUGAGACACGGCCCAG
rnacentral:rRNA from 1 species